GUCACUUUGCCGGAGUGGUUAACGGGAUCGCCUGCUACUUGUAGCUGUUAGCGGUUGGGCUUUGCCCGCGAGUGUUCGAAUCGCUCAGGUGACG
rnacentral:tRNA from 1 species